rnacentral:tRNA from 1 species
GAGGGUACAGCUCAAGUGGUAGAGUGCAUGCUUAGCAUGCAUGAGGUCCUGGGAUCAAUCCCCAGUACUUCCA